CCUACGGGUGGCAGCAGUAGGGAAUAUUGGUCAAUGGGCGCAACCCUGAAGCAGCAACGCCGCGUGGAGGAUGAAGGUUUUCGGAUUGUAAACUCCUUUUGUUAGAGAAGAUAAUGACGGUAUCCAACGCAUAAGAACCGGCUCACUCCGUGCCAGCAGCCGCGGUAAUACGUAGGGUGCAAGCGUUACUCGGAAUUACUGGGCGUAAAGAGCGCGUUGGCGGGGUAGCAAGUCAGAUGUGAAAUCCUAUGGCUUAACCAUAGAACUGCAUGUGAGACAGUUGUUCUAGAGUAUGGGAGAGGUAGGUGGAAUUCUUGGUGUAGGGGUAAAAUCCGUAGAGAUCAAGAGGAAUACUCAUUGCGAAGGCGGCCUGCUAGACCGUAACUGACGCUGAGGCGCGAAAGCGUGGGGAGCAAACAGGAUUAGAUACCCCAGUAGUC
rnacentral:rRNA from 1 species